rnacentral:rRNA from 1 species
GGAGUUUGGCUGGGGCGGCACAUCUGCUAAAAGAUAACGCAGGUGUCCUAAGGUGAGCUCAGUGAGGACAGCAACCUCACGUAGAGCAAAAGGGCAAAAGCUCAUUUGAUUUUGAUUUUCAGUACGAAUACAAACUGCGAAAGCAUGGCCUAUCGAUCCCUUGUGCCUUCCAGGUAUGAAGCCAGGGGUGUCAGAAAAGUUACCACAGGG